CCUACGGGGGGCAGCAGUGGGGAAUAUUGCGCAAUGGGCGAAAGCCUGACGCAGCGACGCCGCGUGAGGGAUGAAGGUCUUCGGAUCGUAAACCUCUGUCAGCAGGGAAGAACGGUCACUGUGCUAAUCAGCAGUGAAUUGACGGUACCUGCAAAGGAAGCACCGGCUAACUCCGUGCCAGCAGCCGCGGUAAUACGGAGGGUGCGAGCGUUAAUCGGAAUUACUGGGCGUAAAGCGCUCGUCGGCGGUAUGUCAAGUCAAGGGUGAAAGCCCCGCGCUCAACGUGGGAACUGCCUUUGAAACUGGAGAACUGGAGUGUGUGAGAGGAUAGUGGAAUUCCAGGUGUAGGAGUGAAAUCCGUAGAUAUCUGGAGGAACAUCAGUGGCGAAGGCGACUAUCUGGCACAUAACUGACGCUGAGGAGCGAAAGCGUGGGUAGCAAACAGGAUUAGAUACCCGUGUAGUC
rnacentral:rRNA from 1 species